GAAAUGCGAUAAGUAGUGUGAAUUGCAGAAUUCAGUGAAUCAUCGAAUCUUUAAACGCACAUUGCGCCCUUUGGUAUUCCUUAGGGCAUGCCUGUUCGAGCGUCAUCUAAACCUUCAAGCCCUGCUUGGUGUUGGGUGCCUGUCCCGCCUCCGCGCGCGGACUCACCUCAAAUCCAUUGGCGGCCCCCGCGUCGGCCACGAGCGCAGCAGAAACGCGAACUCGUGAGCCCGUCCGGGCGGCUCCCAGAAGCUACACCCACCCAGUUUGACCUCGGAUCAGGUAGGGAUACCCGCUGAACUUAAGC
rnacentral:misc_RNA from 1 species